rnacentral:rRNA from 1 species
UAACUUUCAACAACGGAUCUCUUGGCUCUCGCAUCGAUGAAGAACGCAGCGAAAUGCGAUAAGUAAUGUGAAUUGCAGAAUUCAGUGAAUCAUCGAAUCUUUGAACGCACCUUGCGCUCCUUGGUAUUCCGAGGAGCAUGCCUGUUUGAGUGUCAUGAUAAUC